rnacentral:rRNA from 1 species
GACGAACGCUGGCGGCGUGCUUAACACAUGCAAGUCGAGCGGUAAGGCCCUUUCGGGGGUACACGAGCGGCGAACGGGUGAGUAACACGUGGGUGACCUGCCCUCAGCUCUGGGAUAAGCCUGGGAAACUGGGUCUAAUACUGGAUAUGACUCCACGGUGCAUGUCGUGGGGUGGAAAGCCUUGUGCGGCUGAGGAUGGGCCCGCGGCCUAUCAGCUUGUUGGGGGGUGAUGGCCUACCAAGGCGACGACGGGUAGCCGGCCUGAGAGGGCGACCGGCCACACUGGGACUGAGACACGGCCCAGACUCCUACGGGAGGCAGCAGUGGGGAAUCUUGCGCAAUGGGCGAAAGCCUGACGCAGCGACGCCGCGUGAGGAUGACGG